GGGAGACGCGUGCGUCACCAGUCCCGUUUCCACUCAGCUGCAGCCUGGUUCACGUCAGCCCUCAGUGGCUCCUGCCCUUUGCUGAGUCAUUCGAGCAGUUGCCUUUUCUACUGGGACCCUGACGCUGAGUCACUCCUGCCCAUCUUCUCCACUCUUCCAAGCCCCAGCACUAGAGGUUGUUAGUGAAUGGAAUUGUGUAGCAGAUGGAGCCACUGGUGUGUGUGGCCCUCAGAAGCUCAGGCCCCUUGGGAAUCUGACUCGGCUAUCUUCUCCCACUUCUGGGCCACAGCCACAGAGGCCAUGGAGUUGGUGGCCAGAGACUCUGGCCCCCUCCUAUCUGCAGUCACCUGGACACAGGCGAUCAUCUUGCCAUUCUAGGCUGCCACUCUCCCCCUCAUCCUGUAGGACCAAUACUCAUCCUGCUGCAGGAUACUGCUCUACGUUCCAGCAGUGUGGUGAUCAUCACCUCACGGGGCAUCAUCAGGAGCAUACACCCUCUUCAGCCUGAUGCCCAGGCCACUGUGGACAUCACAGCACAGGCAGCCCUGGGGACCACAACUCAAGUGAUGUCAUUAAAAGGCCCUCCCACCUCUCAGAGAGUGGAUACCACAGGCCAAUGUUGGCUCUACAUGGAAAUCCCUCACACCCUUCUCUCUCCUCACCUCUUACACACCCCUUUUCCUAGCUCAGGAGCCUGUUGCCUAGGUGAUGCUUGGUUGGUUUCUGUGAUGAUGACAUCCUGUUACCCCAGGAAGCAUGGUUGAUAGCAUGCUGUCUGAGUGAUGACCUACUGAAGCUCUGCCCCUCACCAAGUCAGUUCAUGUGACUCCUUGAGCAUCUGUGUUCUCUGAGACCACAAACCCCAGAUAAUGGGUAAAAGAAAACCCACCUGGUCUUGGGGCACCCCUUCAUCAGUUCUUCCUCCAGCACCCCAAUGGCUGCCAGCCAACUCAUAGCUCAUCUCCUUCUCACAUCCGUCCCUUCUCCUCUUCUCUCUCCUCCCUCCCUCCUAAACUCUUCUCAGCUCUGGGAAUAAAUCUGUUCAGCUGAUCUUGGCAA
rnacentral:lncRNA from 1 species